GCGGGUGUAGUUCAGUGGUAGAACGCGAGCUUCCCAGGCUCGAUGUCGGGGGUUCGAGUCCCCUCACCCGCUCAA
rnacentral:tRNA from 1 species